AAAAAAAAAAAAAAAACAGUGAGGCUGAGAUACAAAAAAGAGCCUUCUUUUUCUCUCCAUUAUUUCUCUCAUAUAUAAUUCUCUCUUCUUUUCUAUGCUAAUUAAGCUCUUGGUGCUUCUCUGCCUAUCAUGGUUGGCAGUGAAGUUGGGAAACUGACAGCCACUGCUUGAUUUCUUUGCAUUUCGAUGUCAUUUGUUUCAUUGAUCUCUUCAUUUGCCUCGAUGGGUUGUGGCUUCGUUUCGGCUUCUUUUUCUUUGUAUUCCUUGUAUUUGCCCCAAAGAACUGAGUAGAGUCCUGCAACAAUCAGCAGAGCACCAAGAACACCUCCAAGAUAAAUCUUUUCUGCCAGGAUAAAGGAGCCCAUAAUCGCCACUAUAAUCAUCAUCAAAGGGCUAAAAGCAGUAACAAAGACUGGCCCCCUUUUCUGCAUUACAAGUCCUUGAACAUAAUAGGCAAUGCUUGAUGACACAAUACCAGCAUAAGCAGCGGCAAGAAGGUUCAUGUCCCAGCCA
rnacentral:misc_RNA from 1 species